rnacentral:lncRNA from 1 species
CAGGUCCUGGAGCUAUCUUGAUCUCCCAAAACAGAGUUGGUAUUACUUUUGGUUUUCUUCCUCAGACUUCCAAGCCCCAGAGGAUUCCUAAUGACAUGUGUCUCCAUGUGUCUCUGAGCCUCCUGCGGCCAGUGGGGUGCUUGCAUUCCUGAAACGAAACACUAUGACAGUUCUGUACACCUGCUAACAUCAUCCCCAGUGACCUCCAUAAUGGAAGAGAAAUUCAAGGUAAGAGCCUUCAAAUUAUUCACUGCAGGACAGCUGAGCAGUAUGCAUUUAGUUAUUUGCCUGGUUCA